ACAACUGGUAAACUUUGACCCAGAAGUCACAUUCUUACAUUGUGAGAUAAAUCCAAUUAAUUGACAGGGAAUUUCACUCUAAAUUUUCUUGAGGGAAGGGGGUCAUCUUCUCACACACUAAAAGUAUCUUGGAAGAGCUUCAGGAUAACCUUUUACCAAUGAGCAAAUCAAUAGGACCCAUCCUUCAGAACCAUCUACUGAGGGUGGCCCCACCUCUCAGAGUCCAAAGGCAAAUUUCCAUAUCUGGCUCCAGCAGAGUGAUGGGUACACAAUUGGUAAUCAUUCUGGGACUUACCUUUAUAGCAAUUAUGUUAAGGAACUGAGGGCUGAAUGGUUUCCACGAUCAGCGGAAAAUAUAACAGACCAAGAAAUUAAUAAGAAAUAAAGAAAUUAGCUAAA